rnacentral:rRNA from 1 species
AGAGUUUGAUCAUGGCUCAGGACGAACGCUGGCGGCGUGCUUAACACAUGCAAGUCGAACGGAAAGGUCUCUUCGGAGAUACUCGAGUGGCGAACGGGUGAGUAACACGUGGGUAAUCUGCCCUGCACUUCGGGAUAAGCCUGGGAAACUGGGUCUAAUACCGAAUAGGACCAUAAGGCGCAUGCCUAUUGGUGGAAAGUUUUUGCGGUGUGGGAUGGGCCCGCGGCCUAUCAGCUUGUUGGUGGGGUGACGGCCUACCAAGGCGACGACGGGUAGCCGGCCUGAGAGGGUGUCCGGCCACACUGGGACUGAGAUACGGCCCAGACUCCUACGGGAGGCAGCAGUGGGGAAUAUUGCACAAUGGGCGCAAGCCUGAUGCAGCGACGCCGCGUGGGGGAUGACGGCCUUCGGGUUGUAAACCUCUUUCACCAUCGACGAAGGUCCGGGUUUUCUCGGAUUGACGGUAGGUGGAGAAGAAGCACCGGCCAACUACGUGCCAGCAGCCGCGGUAAUACGUAGGGUGCGAGCGUUGUCCGGAAUUACUGGGCGUAAAGAGCUCGUAGGUGGUUUGUCGCGUUGUUCGUGAAAUCUCACGGCUUAACUGUGAGCGUGCGGGCGAUACGGGCAGACUGGAGUACUGCAGGGGAGACUGGAAUUCCUGGUGUAGCGGGAAUGCGCAGAUAUCAGGAGGAACACCGGUGGCGAAGGCGGGUCUCUGGGCAGUAACUGACACUGAGGAGCGAAAGCGUGGGGAGCGAACAGGAUUAGAUACCCCUGUAGUCC